GAUGAACGCUGGCGGCGUUAGCCUAACACAUGCAAGUCGAGCGAUUCUCUUCGGAGAAGAGCGGCGGACGGGUGAGUAACGCUGGGUAACCUGCCCUGUACACACGGAUAACAUACCGAAAGGUAUGCUAAUACGAGAUAAGUAUACGUUUUAUCGCAUGGUAGAAGUAUCAAAGCUUUUGCGGUACAGGAUGGACCCGCGUCUGAUUAGCUAGUUGGUAAGGUAACGGCUUACCAAGGCGACGAUCAGUAGCCGACCUGAGAGGGUGAUCGGCCACAUUGGAACUGAGACACGGUCCAAACUCCUACGGGAGGCAGCAGUGGGGAAUAUUGCACAAUGGGCGAAAGCCUGAUGCAGCAACGCCGCGUGAGCGAUGAAGGCCUUCGGGUCGUAAAGCUCUGUCCUCAAGGAAGAUAAUGACGGUACUUGAGGAGGAAGCCCCGGCUAACUACGUG
rnacentral:rRNA from 1 species